rnacentral:rRNA from 1 species
GAUGAACGCUGGCGGCGUGCCUAAUACAUGCAAGUCGAGCGAAUGGAUUAAGAGCUUGCUCUUAUGAAGUUAGCGGCGGACGGGUGAGUAACACGUGGGUAACCUGCCCAUAAGACUGGGAUAACUCCGGGAAACCGGGGCUAAUACCGGAUAAUAUUUUGAACUGCAUGGUUCAAAAUUGAAAGGCGGCUUCGGCUGUCACUUAUGGAUGGACCCGCGUCGCAUUGGCUAGUUGGUGAGGUAACGGCUCACCAAGGCAACGAUGCGUAGCCGGACUGGGAGGGUGAUCGGCCACACUGGGACUGAGACACGGCCCAGACUCCUACGGGAGGCAGCAGUAGGGAAUCUUCCGCAAUGGACGAAAGUCUGACGGAGCAACGCCGCGUGAGUGAUGAAGGCUUUCGGGUCGUAAAACUCUGUUGUUAGGGAAGAACAAGUGCUAGUUGAAUAAGCUGGCACCUUGACGGUACCUAACCAGAAAGCCACGGCUAACUACGUGCCAGCAGCCGCCGUAA